AUUUAGACAGCAGGACGGUGGCCAUGGAAGUCGGAAUCCGCUAAGGAGUGUGUAACAACUCACCUGCCGAAUGAACUAGCCCUGAAAAUGGAUGGCGCUAAAGCGGGCUACUUAUACUUUGCCGUUAGCGCGAUAGCAUUUAUAAUGUACGCGUUAAUGAGUAGGAGGGCGUGAAGGUCGUGAAGAAGCUCGUGGCGUGAGCCUGAGUGAAACGGCCUUUAGUGCAGAUCUUGGUGGUAGUAGCAAAUAUUCAAAUGCGAACUUUGAAGACUGAAGUGGAGAAAGGUUCCGUGUGAUCAGUAAUUGGACACGGGUGAGUCGAUCCUAAGAGAUAGGAUAAUUCCGUUUGAAAGCUGGGCUGUUUGAGGCGUGGGGUUCGUCCUUGCGUUUUGUAUGCAGCCUCGUGUAUCGAAAGGGAAUCAGGUUAAUAUUCCUGAACCGAGACGUGGAUAAUAUGUGGUAACACAACCGACCCAGGAGACGCUAG